rnacentral:lncRNA from 1 species
UUUUUUUUUUUUUUUUUUUUUUGGUAUGUGGCCUAACACUAGAAAAGUUAAAUCUUGAAAGGGUAAUAAUUUAUAGAGGACAUCAGGGGAAAGAAAUAGUUUUAAAAGAAUAAUACAAAAACAAUCUCCAAAUUCAUCAAAUUUUUUUAAUCCUUAUGUAAGUGUGGGAUAGAUACGGUAUUGGAACGAGAAGAAUGUUUUGGGACAGUACCUAAUUGUUGAUUUUGACCACUCAAAUAAUGUGUGUCAAAAUCUCACCAGGGACGAUCAGUUGACCCAUAAAAGAAUAGCAUGAUUUGGGUUUUUUGUUUUUUUGCAUCUAGUGCUUAACUUUUGUAUUUUUGUCCUAUUUAGAGGAAUUUUGUUUUGUGAAUAUUUUGAGGUUUUUGUACUCUUUGAGACGUGGAUAUUUUCAUGGGGUUAUUGAUUAAGCCAUUUUAAAUCGGCAAUUUAUUUGGUCUUGUUCUCGGUUGUUUUAAAUUUACAAAAUCUGAUUAUAGAAAGUAAAAGUUACUCUUUGGAUGAUUAUAGAUUUUAGCUUUUCGAUCAUUAAAAAAAUCUAUAAUCAAAAUACAAAUGCAAUGCAUAAUAUCACAAAAACUGAUUAUUCAAAAUCAAAAUCUACAAUCAAUUAAAAUAAUCAAUCAAUAACAAACCCUAUAUAUAAAUGCGUGGGUUAUUGAUCUUGACGUGAGAGCAGGUACAGUUAGCUCAAACAACAGGCAUAAGAAAGAAAAUAUGGCAGGGGCAAUAUCAUUUUGCAGUAGUGGGAGGAUGAAUUAAAAAGGAAAAAGUAAAGUUAUUAGCGUUCACCAUUUCUUAAUUGGUAGUCAAUUACAUCUUAGUUCUUAUCUUUGAACUAAUCAAAAUAAUAAUAAUAAUAAUAAUAAUAAUAAUAAUAAUAACCGUAUCUGCUAUCACCAUCCCCAACCCCAAAAAACAAAAAAAAAAAAAAAAAAUUCUUCUCUCAAGUUGUCCAAAUAGCAUUUAAAUGUGCAGAGAACUACUUUGAACUAAUCAAAAUAACCGUAUAUGCUAUCACCAUCAUGAAGUGGACAUUUUUAUUCCAUAUACCAUAUCUCGUUGCAUUUUCUAUUUCCAGCAGCUCAACCUGUACUAAUAUGCAUAUAUCAUACUCAGCUAAGCAACAAAAUUAGAGGUAAAUAUUCACAAAUACCAAGUGUUUCAAGAUGCUUCUUCAAGGUGGAGGAUUGGAUUGGGUGGCAAGUGGGAGGGAGCAAAAGGAAAAAAAAAUGCUUCUUCAAGAAUUUCAAUAGCAAAUGACUUCUUGGUUCGAAUUACAUGGUUCAAUCGACUGAUUUACCGCAACAUAUAUUUCAACUAAGAAAUCUGAUCUAACAUGUUGUUGGUGGGUCAUAAUGUACUUUAUCCUUGGUUAUUAUCUAUAGAAAGCAUUAUAAAAUAUUCCUUCAGCUAUAGUAUAGCAUAACAAGCAAAGCUCCAGAAAUCAAAGAUGCAUACAAAGAUAACUAAUUCUUGAAUAAGAUGCACGUUAUAUCUCCAAAGACAUCUUGCAUUGAGAAGAAAAUAACCCCACAAAAUCCAUGCAGGAAAAUGACAAAUAAAAGCAUAGAAUACAACGACCUUUUCCUCAAUAAGCAUGCCACAUUAUUCAUCAGCUUGGCAGUUGGCAGAACUCAUGAUUUGUAAAGCUUUAAACUUCGUCCCUCAUCGAAGAUAGAAAAUCACUAGUGUAGAAGCCAGUAGUGUUCGUGGAGAUUCCAGCUGAGCAACAGAAGGGAAAUAUGGCUCAUGCUCAUAUUCUAAACCCCCUCAUCACCACAACAAACCCUAAGAACGAUAGGAGCGACCUCUAUGACUCAUUCGAGCUUCAAGCUGUUAUGAAACAGCUUAACCGUGCCAUUGAGGGUUCAAAGGCUCCUUUGUCUCCCAGCUCCUACUACCUCCUACUACCUGAAUUCCCCUUUUUACAGACGACGGUUAGACCAUAUCUACAAAGAAAAUGCUAAAGCACCUAGGAAAAUAUCAGGUUCAAUGAACAACAAUGGAGGUGUCGAGAUGAUGACAACCGCAAGAAACUGUAAGGGGCUGCAGCACCUAUGGAGGAAGGUGAAACAAACUUUUGUUGCGAGAACCAAAUUUCAAGAAAGUUGAAGGUCCCUGUAUUUCUUGAGCAAAUUGUGCAAGCUCUAGGGUUCUUGUAUUGUAUCAUAAUAAUAGUCCUUUUAUACCCUAACCACAGUUCGAAUACAGUACGAGUGUUUGUGUUUUUGUGCCAUAUCACCGUUGAACAAUCUCAAAAGGAACAUUAAAGGAUUCAAUGUCUUACCCAGAUUCUGCUAUUUAAAGCACUUUUUGAGUCCUUUCUUAAGCUUGAGCUUUUGAGAGAUUACCCAGUCCCGGCCAGCAGGGUGAUUGACAACAAAAAGAGAACUCAACUUCUAGUUAUUUGGGGGAAAUUCCGACGGAAUCCACCAUCCCUCCAACUAAAACCACGGGGGCUUGGAUUGUGACAAAUGAAUGUACAGUAUACAAAGUUCUGGAAUUAGACAUGCAAUGCACAAUCAUGAUGCGAAGAGAUGUUUGAAGUGUAGGUUCGAAUGCUAGAUAGUAGUACACGAGAAUAGGUACAAUCGCAAAGCCGCCACAACAAAAUGCCUCUUCUUGAGAAUGUUAAUCAAAGGGGUACACAAACAAGUUCAAGCUAGAAGCAAUUAACAAUUCAAAAAAUUAAAACUACAUUUUACACAAGAUGGUAUCUGUGCAUAUAUGCAGAAGGUGAUAAGACGCUUUGAAACCUAUAUUACAAAAUCAGAACAACUAUUCUCGUGAAAACGUUGAUCCACGAAGCAGGUAUGCUUGUAUAGCUGAACAUGUUUACGUGUAUAUAAAUCUAGGACAGUCUCAGUGCCAUUUCUUGAAGAAGCGAUCGCUUUUGUGAUGCAUUAAUUACAUGGUUGGAUUCAGCAUUUUCAAGCACAUCAGUAAUUAUGGCUGCCGCAUGACCCAGAGGUUCUUCUGCUGCUCUUCUCAACAUAAAAGCCUGCAGCAGAAAGGGGAAUGCAAUAUAAGUAAUAAUCUCACUGUUCUUUUUUCCCCUGAGAAAUUGGAGCUUAUCCAACACUAUGUUAAACAUCAGCACACAUGCAUUUUUUUCUUUCGCAAUUUUGAGAAAGCACUGAUUAAAGAAGCCACCAUAGUUUCUGCAUGGACUUCUAUAAUUCUAGGUGUUCAAAAAAGUCGUUCCUGUUGGUCCAAUUUCCCUACAUGCAAAACGUAUGUUGCCAAAUGCAGAAUCCAGAAAAGCUUAUCAUAUAGGCCAUACCCCUCUAUAGGCAAGGCCCUGCUACAACUUCCCCUGCUGCUUUUAGAUUUUACCUUUCCUUUUCCCUUUUUUUUUUUUUGGAGAGGCGGGGGGUGUGGUGGGUGGAAGUGUCGUUAGUUUUUUCCUCUUGUAGAAGAAGGGAGUGGGGCUGGGGAAGGGAUUGGGGGGAGAGUUGCAUGCCAUGUGUAGGAGCUGCUUUGAUUUCAAGUUACAAUGACCUGGAAUCUCUUUCUGAAGGAGCUCUAGAGAAGAAGAGGGAAAGAGGAAAUGCAAGGAGUGAAACCUGUCCGUGGUGUGAUAUAGCCAAUGUACACGUUCGCUGAAACCAUGGUUCUCCAUCUAUUUGUACAGGCAAUGCAGCAAACAGCUGGAUCUUGAUGGAUUGCCCCUGAGCAAGUCUCCGUGCUCUGGAAAGACCAACCUAUUUUUAUAGAUAAGGAUUAGAUCCAUUACCAGAAUUCGAACUCCAAGAGGGUCUCAAAAGAGAAUAAAUUGGUCCUAAUCUGAUAUGCAAGUCAAAAUGUCCUAUCACUGGGCAGCAACAUUUUCCGUCUGCAUGUGUGAUACAGACUUCAAGUCACAACUGCCAUACCUGGAGCUUUCCAAGAUGCCAUGUUCCUGAAAUGCUUACAACCUCGAGCAUCUUAUCAUGCAUUGAUUGAGGAUCAAAAUUAUCUUCUGUUUCAUCCUCAUUUUGCCACAAGUCUACUCCACCCAUAUAGCUUCCAAUGUUUGCAACUAGAACACCUUCAGCAUCCUGCGAAUGAUCACAAAUAAAACACCACAUUUUCAUAAUAUAAAUAAAACAAGAGGAAAAAAAAGGAUGAACAAAUUACAUCAAAUUCUAAUUAAGCAGACAAGAACCACAAGCUAGAAUAAAAGGGCAGAAAGGAAACAGUUGAAGCAAGUUCAUCAUUUGCAAGCUAGUACCCACCUCAGGGACCUCAAUCUCAACACCGUCAACUUCCACACGAACUUGCCAGGGAAAAUCUGCAAAGGUCCUGUCCAUAAUACUUCUUGCCCCUUCUCUUGCAUAAAGAACUUUGUUCAUGAACUGGAAUUACAGAGGCAAUAACUUUAGUUCCACGGGAAAUGCAAAAUCACAAAAUUAUCAAGAACAAAUGAUAGUCAUAGUAGGAUAUGACUUGAAUGAUUUUCACACAGCACUAUCCUUUUCAAACAACAAAUGAUAAUCUAUCCAUAAAAAAAAUCACCGUAAUUGAAUACAGAAAAGUACUUUACAAAAUAGAACAAAUAAUUAAAUCUACUCACAUACGUAGUGGAAGAAGCAUAAGUAAAGGAAUCAGCACAUGACAAUGGAAAGAAGUUUCACAUCAGUUUUCCAUUCACUUCCUAAUCCCUCCUUCCUCCUUUCCACUCCCUUACCAUCAAAACAUAAAAUAAUAAUUCAUAAAACCAAAAAUCCUGUGGAAGUCAAAAGUGGGCAAGGACAAAGAAUGACUAAAACCUUAGGGCAAAAGAAGGGAUUCAGCAAAGUUUAUUUGUUUGGAGAUGUAACCACCAAAAAAAAAAAAAAAAAAGCAGGCUUUUCUAAGCAAAAAUUCUCUGGAUACUUAAUACAGGCAAUAUCUCAAGUAUUUUGUCCGUAAUUGUUGAGAAGAGACAAAAGGCGGCAGAAUGGAACAAGAAGUAAAACACCAGCCAAGGCAAUCGAAUUCUUUUUGGAGUAUACAUUGUUUUGCCUUCUGUGAGCUUGAGAAAUGCUCACACUGGGUGGUUGAUCCUAAUGAAAUCUAAGUGGAAUGCCUAUGAGUUCAACUUCUUGCUCUUAGUUUUCAUUCUACUAUUGCUUCCUCCUAAACUCCAACCAAUUCCCUCUCCUAUCUUAGAUUCUCAAAACUUUCUAUCAGUUAAAUUUUCUACGUCUAAGGGUUCUGAAAUCAGAUUUUAUCCACUGGUGUUUCUUGGAGCUGCAUCACCAAGUCCAAAUCAACUUCUACCAAUCAAUAUUAAUCUUCAAACAUCUGUGCAUAUUUAGGCAUAAAGCCCUGUUGCAGCACCGCAUACCAUGCAUACUGCCAUUGCCAUUAUAUACCCAUGAAAUAUGUCAGACAAAAGGAGAAGAAGGGGGCCCACCGGGGGGGUGGUGUGGGAAGUUCCCUUGCUUCACAAAAGUACUACUCCUAUGAGUCUUGUAAUCAAAUAUGGCAAUCUGUUGGACACUAACCUAUUUCAAGGGGCUGACUACUCCAAGCAAACAGCACUACAGAUUCUCCACUCGAACAUAAAAGUCCAUCUUUAUUUGGAGUUCUAUAAUGAUUUUUGCAAGUUAAAGAUCCAUAAUCAUGCAGUUAGCAUGGUCAGUUCUUUGUGAAGAAAGGCCAAAGUACAAAAGUAAAAGACACCAUUUCAAGUUUAUAAUCACUUAGUCCUACCACAUUAGAUAUAAUCAGCAUGAUCCUACCACAUUAGAUAUAAUCAGUGUGAUUGGUACAUCAUUCUUAUGCUACGUAAAAACAAAUUUAGGAGACAAACCAGCAACUUGGAUCUUUAUCUAGAGUUCAGUAGCUAAUGCAAGCUAUAGUGUGAUGUAAGCAAAUUUACCUGGUUAUAAAACUUUUCCGGAUUUUCCUCUCUCAGAUUAUGUAUGUCCAAGGCAACCUUAGCAUCACAACCAACCCCUGUGGCAAAACUAGCCCAAGUUCAAACAACAAAGACGAGAAAACAUCCUUGAAGAAUCACAAACCAAAUACACAAUCCAGGUUGCAGGGGAACCUAAAAAAUUCCAAUAAGAUUUAUAACACAUGUUGAGCUUUCACAAUGUCUUCUUUUCAAAUGAAAUUCCUACUUUUCCCCAGCCACAAUUUCAAAAGAAAUAGAAAGAUAAAAAUAGAAAACAAAAUCACCUUUAAACAAUUAAUGCACAAGGGCAUACUGAUACUAAAAGAAAUAAGUCAAGCAUCUAAAAAACCUGAUGUCACCAGUCACAACCCAAUAAAAAGAGAGGGAAAGAGACAGAAAGGAUUAAUAGUAGGCUUCCCAUGCAAAUUUGAUGAGUUGCAUCUUCAGAUGUAGCAUCAGCAAUACUAUCAUCCCUAAAAUGGGUAAUUCAUCGUGUCUGGAGCUAUUCAUGGUAUUCAGUGAACAAAGCUACUCAUUUAGUAGCCCAAGAGUAUAAUGUAGUACUUCUCAUUUUUUAACUGUCUUAUAUGCUAUCAAACACAUACAUAAACAUAAACUCAUCAACAAAGAGAGCUGCCAACUUACCAAGAUAGUUAUUCAUGAACUUUGGAGCUUGCAGUGGUUUUCCCUGUUGGUUUAAAAUUGAAACCUUCCAUCGAUCAAGAAUGGUAACCGCCGCAUUUUCUAUGUGAUUUAAUAAUGUGCAAAGGCCUCCUUGUCUCUCAACCGAACCUAGACCCCCACCCCAUGAAAGAACUCGAGCCAAAUCAUUUCCAGUUCCUGCAGGAAGAAUAGCCAUAGGCGGAGGAGAAACAAAAUUUUGCUUGUCGAUGGCAUUCAAAACCCAGCCAACAGUGCCAUCUCCUCCACAAACAAGGACUCUGAAGUGGGGUACCCUUCUAAAUAAAUAUAAACCAACUUCAGGUCCCUGUGCAGAGCUAAGCUCAAAAACCUGUAGCAGAUCAUGGAGAACCAUACAGCAUAAUUGUAUCUUAUGGAAAGAAAAAAGGGGGAAGUUUGGGUGGGCAGGAAAAGAGGAAAGCAACACAUCAUUUCAACUACCAGACUGACAAAGUGUCUUAACAUCUUGGCGAGCACCAGUCCAAUAAAUCAUCAUUAAAAUAAAGUCUUAGAUACUGGAAAGCAACGCUCUAUGAUGGUAAGUAAAAAAAAUAGAAAUCAAAUAAUUGAAAAAAAAAAAUUAUGCAUUCUUCCUUUCUCAUGUGAUCCAAUAUUUAAUAUGUCUGAGCAAUUGCAGUUGCCACAGAACAAUUUGCUCACUAAACUACAUCGCCAUUCAUUAACAUCUACAACCCUAAAUAUUCCAUAAACCCUGUUUUUACCACAUGGUAUUUUGGGGUAUGAAAAAUACCACCACCAACACUGAGUAGCCACAAAAUAAAGAGCCUAUUUUCAUUCUCUGUAAUCUGUAUGAAUGCAGAAAACAAAAUUAUGAAAAGCUAGUACCACCCAACUAAUGAGUUUCAGCUUUUUUAGCUUUCAAUCGCAUAAAAGCUAGACCAAAAAAAAAAAAAAAGCAGCUUGGUCAGCAUAUUGUAACUUUUUUGUUUCCAAUGGAAGAUGGUCAUAAACUUGGAAACUCAAUUUUAAAUUGAGAUCCAAUAUGGAAUAAAACGGCCAACAUGUUUCCCACUUUGUUUGUGAACCUUUAUACAGUAUUAACUCUCAACUAUUCCAUUCUUUUCAGUCAAAUGCUGCCCUAUAUGAUUCAACAGUGGAAGGACAAAUAAAGGGGGAAAAUCAUGUUCUUAUUCAAUGAAAUACUCAUUUGGCACACUUCAACAGUAUGCUUAAAAGGAAGGAAGCGGGUAGUCAAAAAAGGCAAGUAGGGGUAUAAAAAAGAGGAUAGUGUGUGGAUAAAUAUGUAAAACCAUUUACACCAAAUUCUUUGAAGGGUAAUCUGGAAAACCAUUUACGCCAAAACCUUUUUAGGCUUUAUACAUACUAAGAUGAAAUUGGACAAACUCGAUCUACCCACAAGCAAACGCAUGCACACGUACACAGAGCACAGAGCGGAAGAGAGAUUAGCUGAGUGCAAAACUCUUACUUGAACAGGAUUCAGUAGAAUGUUCAGUCGCUGACGCAGUGAAUCUCCCCUUUGGGCUCCGCUCUUCUUAUUUAUGAACACUAGCAAUGGUCUUGCAUCUGAAGGCAAAUCAACCAAUUCAUAGCUUUGUCUCAUCCUAGCUAAAUGCAACUCAUCCUUUUGAUUGAUUGACGAACUUCUUUUAAAGCUAGGCUGGGACUCCAUCUUUUUUACUCCACCAUUCUGUUGCACAUCUGCACUGUCUGGGCUUACACCAUUGUUGCAGUUUUCCUCCACUCCGUGCAAACCAUUAACUCGUGGACUAUCAGCUGCGCUUUCUGUGGAUGCGUCACUGAUAACACUACUAUUACCUUUGUCUGCAGUGGCUUCAUGAUUGUGUUUAUGUUUUUUACCUUGACUUCUUAUACUGGCACGGACAGAUGACGCAAUCUCAUUGGCACCAUGUGUAAUAGAGCUUAAAAUUCGACCUGCAGAAGUCCUAUUCAAUUCCUUAACAAAAAGAGGUGAUAGAAUAAGUCUGCUAAAAGGGCCCAAAUCGCAAAUGUCACCACUCUCAUUAGAGAAACUACCGUGACAGUCAACAUGUACCAAGCGCUGACACCAUAAACAACACCAUAUAGGGGAGCCACCAAGAAAAGAACUACUGCAUGGCUCUUCACAAUAGCUACAGAAAGAUGAUUCAUCAGGUUGAUCCAUAACAUCUGCCCAGCGCAAUGCCCACUGAUGCAUCACUUGCUCAUAUCCAAGCAUAGACACACACUUGCAGCUAAGAUGAUCCUUAUGUGCAUUUGACGAGCAGCUAAGAUGAGCUGCUGAACCACAUAUGCUGCAACGAUGAAUAAAACUAUCUGAAGCCCCAAUGGGACCAAGAGCUUGUGAAGGUGACAUGGAUUUUAAGCACACGCAGCAGUUUAAACUUUUCCCACGAUAUCCAGAUUCCAAAAUCCAUGUAUGAGGAGCCACAGGAACCUUGGUUCUUGCUUUUGGGUUCUUCUUUGACCUGGAAAUGGCUUUCAUCCAACUCAAAUUGAUAUUUCUUCUCCACUGGAAAGCUGUGUAGAAUAUUGUCAAAAUUCCUACCAAACCAGCAAUAAAGCAAGAGAGGACAAAGAGGCG